rnacentral:rRNA from 1 species
UGAAGCCGCUUCGGUGGUGGAUUAGUGGCGAACGGGUGAGUAACACGUGGGCAAUCUGCCCUGCGCUCUGGGACAAGCCCUGGAAACGGGGUCUAAUACCGGAUAUGAUCAUCGGCCGCAUGGUCUGGUGGUGGAAAGCUCCGGCGGUGCAGGAUGAGCCCGCGGCCUAUCAGCUUGUUGGUGGGGUGAUGGCCUACCAAGGCGACGACGGGUAGCCGGCCUGAGAGGGCGACCGGCCACACUGGGACUGAGACACGGCCCAGACUCCUACGGGAGGCAGCAGUGGGGAAUAUUGCACAAUGGGCGCAAGCCUGAUGCAGCGACGCCGCGUGAGGGAUGACGGCCUUCGGGUUGUAAACCUCUUUCAGCAGGGAAGAAGCCUUCACCGGUGACGGUACCUGCAGAAGAAGCACCGGCUAACUACGUGCCAGCAGCCGCGGUAAUACGUAGGGUGCGAGCGUUGUCCGGAAUUAUUGGGCGUAAAGAGCUCGUAGGCGGCGUGUCACGUCGGAUGUGAAAGCCCGGGGCUUAACCCUGGGUCUGCAUUCGAUACGGGCAGGCUAGAGUUCGGUAGGGGAGAUCGGAAUUCCUGGUGUAGCGGUGAAAUGCGCAGAUAUCAGGAGGAACACCGGUGGCGAAGGCGG